rnacentral:rRNA from 1 species
GCGAACGCUGGCGGCCGGCCUAACACCUGCAAGUCGCACGGAUCCUUCGGGAUUAGUGGCGGACGGGUGAGUAACACGUGGGAACGUGCCCUUUGGUUCGGAACAACUCAGGGAAACUUGAGCUAAUACCGGAUGUGCCCUUCGGGGGAAAGAUUUAUCGCCAUUGGAGCGGCCCGCGUCUGAUUAGCUAGUUGGUGAGGUAACGGCCCACCAAGGCGACGAUCAGUAGCUGGUCUGAGAGGAUGAUCAGCCACACUGGGACUGAGACACGGCCCAGACUCCUACGGGAGGCAGCAGUGGGGAAUCUUGCGCAAUGGGCGAAAGCCUGACGCAGCCAUGCCGCGUGAAUGAUGAAGGUCUUAGGAUUGUAAAAUUCUUUCAGCGGGGACGAUAAUGACGGUACCCGCAGAAGAAGCUCCGGCUAACUUCGUG